rnacentral:rRNA from 1 species
GAUGAACGCUGGCGGCGUGCCUAAUACAUGCAAGUCGAGCGAACAGACGAGGAGCUUGCUCCUCUGACGUUAGCGGCGGACGGGUGAGUAACACGUGGAUAACCUACCUAUAAGACUGGGAUAACUUCGGGAAAUCGGAGCUAAUACCGGAUAAUAUAUUGAACCGCAUGGUUCAAUAGUGAAAGACGGUUUUGCUGUCACUUAUAGAUGGAUCCGCGCCGCAUUAGCUAGUUGGUAAGGUAACAGCUUACCAAGGCAACGAUGCGUAGCCGACCUGAGAGGGUGAUCGGCCACACUGGAACUGAGACACGGUCCAGACUCCUACGGGAGGCAGCAGUAGGGAAUCUUCCGCAAUGGGCGAAAGCCUGACGGAGCAACGCCGCGUGAGUGAUGAAGGUCUUCGGAUCGUAAAACUCUGUUAUUAGGGAAGAACAAAUGUGUAAGUAACUAUGCACGUCUUGACGGUACCUAAUCAGAAAGCCACGGCUAACUACGUG